ensembl:lncRNA
AGCAACUGGCUUGUGAACAAAGUGGAGCCUUCAGCAGUUCAAGAACCAGAUAUUUCCCUCAGGAGCUGGUAGAGCAAAAAGGAGAGUGACUGUUACGUUAGUCAUCAUCGGGGAACUCAACUCUACGUAAAUGCUAAUGUGACAAGAUCUUUUCCUGGCGGGUGUGUAAAGGGACAUUUACGACAAAUGUACCGUACCAAUUGUAGGAUUCAGACCAUUUGUUGCCUCGGCGUUCUUAACAAGUGGCAGGGGCAGUUUCAAAUGACCUGUGGUUACACGUUUGAAGCUCUAUGGUUUGCCUUACGGUGGGUGUUUCAGAAGGCAAGAACUACCCCGGACACACACUGGUGAGGCCCUGGACAAACUCACAAUAUGGGGUUUUCUACAUUCAGGAUCCACCUUUGGCGUGUCUCUUAAUAUAAUGCAAAUAGUCCAAGAAACCAACCAAGUGCAAACCAUAUGGAAUGAAACUUCUGUUUGCACGUUUCUCAAUUCUCA